rnacentral:rRNA from 1 species
UACAGAGGUCCCAAGCGUUGUUCGGAUUCAUUGGGCGUAAAGGGUGCGUAGGUGGCGCCGUAAGUGGGGUGUGAAAUUUCGGAGCUUAACUCCGAAACUGCAUUCGAUACUGCCGUGCUUGAGGACUGGAGAGGAGACUGGAAUUUACGGUGUAGCGGUGAAAUGCGUAGAUAUCGUAAGGAAGACCAGUGGCGAAGGCGGGUCUCUGGACAGUUCCUGACACUGAGGCACGAAGGCCAGGGGAGCAAACGGG